ACCAUGCAAGUCGAGCGGAAACGAGUUAUCUGAACCUUCGGGGAACGAUAACGGCGUCGAGCGGCGGACGGGUGAGUAAUGCCUAGGAAAUUGCCCUGAUGUGGGGGAUAACCAUUGGAAACGAUGGCUAAUACCGCAUGAUGCCUACGGGCCAAAGAGGGGGACCUUCGGGCCUCUCGCGUCAGGAUAUGCCUAGGUGGGAUUAGCUAGUUGGUGAGGUAAGGGCUCACCAAGGCGACGAUCCCUAGCUGGUCUGAGAGGAUGAUCAGCCACACUGGAACUGAGACACGGUCCAGACUCCUACGGGAGGCAGCAGUGGGGAAUAUUGCACAAUGGGCGCAAGCCUGAUGCAGCCAUGCCGCGUGUGUGAAGAAGGCCUUCGGGUUGUAAAGCACUUUCAGUCGUGAGGAAGGUGGUGUAGUUAAUAGCUGCAUUAUUUGACGUUAGCGACAGAAGAAGCACCGGCUAACUCCGUGCCAGCAGCCGCGGUAAUACGGAGGGUGCGAGCGUUAAUCGGAAUUACUGGGCGUAAAGCGCAUGCAGGUGGUUUGUUAAGUCAGAUGUGAAAGCCCGGGGCUCAACCUCGGAAUAGCAUUUGAAACUGGCAGACUAGAGUACUGUAGAGGGGGGUAGAAUUUCAGGUGUAGCGGUGAAAUGCGUAGAGAUCUGAAGGAAUACCGGUGGCGAAGGCGGCCCCCUGGACAGAUACUGACACUCAAAUGCGAAAGCGUGGGGAGCACACAGGAUUAGAUACCCUGGUAGUCCACGCCUUAUACGAUGUCUACUUGGAGGUUGUGGCCUUGAUCCGUGGCUUUCGGAGCUACGCGUUAANUAGACCGCCUGGGGAGUACGGUCUCAUGAUUAAACUCUAUGAAUUGACGGGGGCCCCNACAAUCGGUGGANCUGUGGUUAAUUCNUGCAACGCGAAAACCGUACUACUUGACUUCGGAAAAGUUUCAGAGAUGAUUGG
rnacentral:rRNA from 1 species